rnacentral:rRNA from 1 species
GAUGAACGCUGGCGGCGUGCCUAAUACAUGCAAGUCGAGCGAACAGACGAGGAGCUUGCUCCUCUGACGUUAGCGGCGGACGGGUGAGUAACACGUGGAUAACCUACCUAUAAGACUGGGAUAACUUCGGGAAACCGGAGCUAAUACCGGAUAACAUGUUGAACCGCAUGGUUUAACAGUGAAAGACGGUCUUGCUGUCACUUAUAGCUGGAUCCGCGCCGCAUUAGCUAGUUGGUAAGGUAACGGCUUACCAAGGCAACGAUGCGUAGCCGACCUGAGAGGGGGAUCGGCCACACUGGAACUGAGACACGGUCCAGACGCCUACGGGAGGCAGCAGUAGGGAAUCUGCCGCAAUGGGCGAAAGCCUGACGGAGCAACGCCGCGUGAGUGAAGAAGGUCUUCGGAUCGUAAAACUCUGUUAUUAGGUAAGAACAAAUGUGUAAGUAACUAUGCACGUCUUGACGGUACCUAAUCAGAAAGCCACGGCUAACUACGUG